rnacentral:tRNA from 1 species
UGGGUUGAGGCUCAUCGGUAGAGCGCUCACCUCACAAAUGUGGGGCCCUGGGUUUGAUCCUCAGCACCACAU